rnacentral:tRNA from 1 species
CGAAGCGUAGCCCAGUUUGGCAGGGCGCUUGAUUUGGGAUCAAGAGGUCGCAGGUUCAAAUCCUGUCGCUUCGA